UUCAAGCCCUUCAAGGACUCCCCACUGCCAAU
rnacentral:piRNA from 1 species